AAAUAAAAUAAAAAAAAACUCGCAAAAGCUUUCCCCUUUUCUCUCUCAAUCUUCAAGUCCGACCUAGGCUCCGGUCGCCGGACCACCGUGGCAACCACCGGUCACCGCGCCGCCGUCCACGGUGUCCGGAACAAAAAACUCCCUUUCGACUACUUUUUGAAGGUAAUACUUUCCUAGCCCGAAAAAAUUAAAAAAAAGGACCUUUUGCCCUCUUCUUAGAUCAAUUUUGAUACCAGAGAGAGGAUUUGCAACGACAAGAACGUCGAACGAUUUAGGUGGUGAAGUCAACAGUGGCAGGCGCUGACGUGGCGAGGUGGAGGCGGCUAGGGUUUUAGUUUUUUUGAAAAAAAUUUAAUGUUGUGGGCUUGUUUAGGUUGGGCUUAGGGUUUUUUUUAAUUUGGGCUGGUAUUUGUCAAUUAGGCUUGGAUUGUUUAAUUAUUUGUUUUUUUCAUUUGUUGGGUCUGUUUAAGGCCCCGGACAAAUUAGGCCUAUUACACAAACAUUAUUUUCUAAA